rnacentral:lncRNA from 1 species
UUUCCCUUUCCUAGAAGGAUCUAAUUUCCAAUUAAAGAGGGACUCUACAUCAAAAUUAGAAACAAUCCUACGUUUCCUAAAGCAAGAAGAUCUCUACAUCUGCUACCCUUUCCUACGAGCAGCCCAACAAGUGUGGGGGCAUUUGUGGAGCCAAAAAUAAUCAAGAAGAAUAUGAAGGCGACACAUGGAUUCUAGGGUAAAAAGGACAAAAUUACCCUCAAGGAACACCGAAAUUCCUACCCGCGAGUAGUGGACAAUCAUCCCUCAAUCAAGUCAAAAGUGCCCAAACUAAGUAUUUAUUUAUAACCUAUUUCAUCCAUCCUCAUCAAAUCUUCUCCACAAGGUAACCCCUAAAUCAUUCCUUUUUAUUAUAUUAAUUAGCUAAUUAAUUGAUUAAUUAUUCAACUAAUUUCCUAAUUAAACACAAAUCAUGAACUACACCCACAAAACCAUCCAAGUGGCUGGUCCAUCUCCUCCCAAGGUGGACGGCCACACCCCUAUAUAAACACCCCCAUUCUCUCCAAAACCUAAUUCCAAUUCUCUUGCUAAAUUCUCUAAAAUUUCCAUACAAUUUUCCCACA